rnacentral:rRNA from 1 species
GCAACCGAGAGGGGAAAGGACACAUAUUAUGGUUACAUAAUGGACAUAUGGGAACUUGACUACGGACAUGAUUUUAAGGUCCCUUUGUUUAAGUGCAAAUGGGUCAAUCUGUCAGGAGACGGGGUACAGGUAGACCCACAGUACGAAAUGACAACAGUGGAUCUGAACAAUCUUGGGUACACUGACGAACCAUUCGUCCUAGACAAUGAUGUGGCACAGGUUAUCUAUGUGAAGGACAUGUCUACCAGACCGAGAAAAAGAAAAGAUAAGGAAGCGAAUACAUCAUACGAUGAGCCAAAGCGCCACAUAGUUCUUUCAGGAAAAAGGGACAUUGUGGGAGUGGAGGGCAAGACAGACAUGUCUGAAGAUUAUGAAAAGUUUCAUGAAAUUCCUUCC